GUUGAACGCUGGCGGCAUGCCUAACACAUGCAAGUCGAGCGCCGCUGCGGACGGGUGGGUAAUGCCUAGGAAUCUGCCUGGUAGUAGGCUAUCACUUCCGGGAACGGGCGCUAAUACCGCAUACUAUCAGAUGAGCCUAGGGGGGAUUAGCUAGUUGGUGGGGUAAAGGCCUACCAAGGCGACGAUCCGUAGCUGGUCUGAGAGGAUGAUCAGUCACACUGGAACUGAGACACGGUCCAGACUCCUACGGGAGGCAGCAGUGGGGAAUAUUGGACAAUGGGCGAAAGCCUGAUCCAGCCAUGCCGCGUGAGUGAAGAAGGUUUUCGGAUUGUAAAUCUCUUUAGGUUGGGAGGCGGUACCAACAGAAAAAGCACCGGCUAACUUCGUGCCAGCCGCCGCGGUAAUAC
rnacentral:rRNA from 1 species